rnacentral:lncRNA from 1 species
UCUCUGCCUGAGACCUUCCCAGGUCGGAGAAGACCAGGGCCGCAUCCUUCUCACUGGGCCCGGAUCGUUACAAAGCUGAGCGCUAAAGAUCCUCCAGAUAGACUUGAAAAUGCAUGGACUUGCUUCAAGACUCUCAGCCAUGAACCUUUUUAGAGGAUCCUGGCUUUGCUGCUGGAAAUCUUUUAAGUCCAGAACUGCCUCUCUGAGCAGAACUGGGAGGAACCCCACUCUUUAUCACACAUACUUAAGUCAGGAAGUGCUAGUCCAUAACAGUACAAAUUGGAUGUGAAUACUGUUGACGCCAUCUGUGUGCUGUUUUACCGCACCAGUCACUUGACAUUUCGCCUGCAUCCAAGAGGUACCAGGUGCUGCUCAUAAGCCACCGAGGCCGUUUUCUGAUAUGCCGCAAUACAGUCGCCGGAGAGUCGUGACCUACUGGGCCUUUGGCACAACACAACGGCUGCUAAUUGCGAAGACGUGUUGUUUUAAGAUGUUAAAGGCAUGACAAGAACAGGCACUCUGGACCUGGACAGAUUGCAGGAGCUGAAUCAUUGAUGCCGGAUGGCAAGGCUGCCUUGAGCACAGAGCUUGCCAGAGAAGGAGGAGCACGUGGCCAGGAUGCUGUUUCCAA